GUCCUUGAAAGUAUCCAGUGCAAGGCAGAGCAGUGGAUCAGUACUCUGUGUUAAAUAAAUGUGCCACGAGAGUAAGUGUUCUUGGAGUACUCAGUGGGAGUACAUUUUCAGUGAAUCUGAUAUUUUAAUCUAGUGGAGGGCAAAAGUUGGCUUUAGAGUGGGGUAGGAAACAGCCACAAUUGAGCUGCACUCCUGAAUGUGUCUGCUCUCACACAACACUUGUUGUUUCAUUGCAGCAGCACCGUGGGCUCUGGUUCAUGGGGGUGCUGUGUAGCUCUCAAACCCCACUGUCUGCCGAGCUCUCAGUAGCUCCUACACACUCCCAGCUGGAUGUCACAGCUUGUUUGGUUCUGCAGAUAUGUUACAUGCCCACUCUGGGGGAAGGUUUGAUGGGUAAACACUGGAAAAGAGACCUGGAGAAAGGCUGGGUAGGGGACAGACAUAAGAUUUCUCCAGACUCUGUGUGGGCACAAGGAAAAGGCAGGCUGGAUAUAACUCUGACCUGGUCUCAGACAACCGCACCUUCAGGGGGCCAGCCUGUUCUUCAGAAGAAUACUGUCUUUUCCGGGUUUUUGCAAUUUUAUUUCAAAGCUCUUCAUAAACAAUCUUCUAAUGACCUGAAGAAUUGAUCUCCUAUUACUCUGUGGCUGUGGAGAAUUUGAAAGAAAUCUACAGUGAAGGAUUUGAAAAAGUACAGAGGGAGCACAUAGCUCUGGCCUUCAGCCCAGGAAAAAGGCUGCAUGAUUAAUUCUGCUUUCAACAUUGGAUGUGAAAGUCUGCUUAGAAAGCCCCUGCAUGGAAUGGCAGCAGAGAAGAGCAAGAAGUGUCUGCUUUUUGUGAGGAGGAACACAGUGUGCUGCUUCCCCUGCCACAGCCACUGAGCCCUCACCAGCAGCCAUUCAGCUCCUUGGCCUGUGAGCCUGCCAAGAUCCAGCAGUUAUCCCAGGACUAAACCAGAGGCUUGGCAGUGUGGGAGCAAGAAGAAUCCGGGUGCUGUGUGAAAGCAGCACCUUAAUGCAGCAAAACCCCUGAGCAGCUCCUCAGGAUUUGGUGGUGUGGAGUGCAGUGGCCAAGGGAAUGAGCUGGAACAGGCAGAAGGUACCCACAUUCUCCUCCACCACGUGUGACCUUGGUCCUUCAGGGACAAGCCAGCAUGAGGGAUGAAUGAAUACACAUGAAGGAGCAAAGACAAGGCAGGGGAUCAAGCCAGAAGGAUUUGGUAGCAAAGAAGGGAUUGACACUGGCACUGAUGGGAAGGAGAUACUGCCGUGGUUUGCCCAAAAAUGAGACAGAACGUUUUCUUUCCUCCUGACGGAUAUGCAUUGGAAACAGGCAGAAGCUGAGAUUGGGAAGGUGAUGAGAGAAACAAUACAACCAGAACCCCGUCUCCACAAUCUGAAGUAAAGAAGAAAUCUUACAUCAUGGAUAAACUCAUUUUUCUGCUGAUGAUGGAUGAAGGGGAGGACAUACAACUGUAGGACAAGUACAGAGGGCUGAAGGACAAUUAUGUCAACAAGGAAGCAAUGCAGGAACAGAAACCUGAGUCAAUAUUCAGUCAGACCCUUUAAUUGUGCAGCUCAUUUUGUACCAAUGGAAGUAAAUCCUUAAUUCUGAAGCAACUUGUGCCUAGGGGAAAGGAGUGCAAGAGCCUUUGGUAUCCCCAUAGACAGCCCCUGAUGGGAAUCAUGAUACAGGGAAGAGAGGUAAAACCUUAACCAGUCUGGAAUUCAGGAGCAGUGGAAGCACCCGAGGAGAAGAGAAUAUGGACCUCAGGAGAAGAAAUUAUUUUAGAGACAUGUAUAGAUAUAUAUAGAGGGAGAUUUGACCCGUGUUUUUAUCAGGUGAGAGUUCCAAUAUAAAAGGAAGUCACUGUGGUAAAGAAUGUAAGGUUGUCAUCAGGCCACAGAAAAUCUCUUCACAAAUUCUUUAUUUCCAGGUUGGAGUUCAGGAACAGAGGAAUGUAAGAUCAAACCAGCUCACAUGCUGCAACACUUAAAGUACCCUAUUUUAAAAAUAGAAAUCAGAUCUGAUCUCUCUUAGGAAGUAAAAAAAAAAGUAUUGUGCAGAAAAUUACAAGAAGUUCUGGAUCAGAUUAUGUGGUCAGCAGCCUAAGUGGCUUAAAAUGAUCAAAACUCCAGUAAAAAAAAAAAAAAAAAAUCUUUCAGAAGACUGUUCAGAUUGCUCUGGGUAUUUUUGUUUGAGUGGUCACAGCGUGAGCAACACCCAGCCCAGAGCAGCUGAGAUGGAGGAGCAGGGCAGUACCCGUGGGCUGGAACGCCACUGUCACUGGAGAGUGAAUUACAGCCUGUCAGUCAGUGACAGGUGACACCACAGACACCGUGCCACAGGAAAAGACUCCAAGGGGCUCCUGGCCUGGAACCCAGCUUGGUGGGAGCUGUGUCUGUGUCUGGGAUGUUAUUUUAGGAGAAGAUCCUUCACGGCAUCUCCUCACUGGCCUGAAGUGAUGCUUCUCGGGGCUGAGCAUCUCCCGCGAGUCACGGAAAGCAGAGCAGGGCAAGAGGCAGCAGCCAACAAACAGCACGUUACUCUGCAUCUCAGAAAUCUCCACCAAGGCCAUUUAUUCUCCUCUGAGAAUGAAUAACUAAUGAGAAGCCUCCUCUUGCCAGUUAUUGUAGCGCUGCACAGAGCGGGUUGGAUGUGGAGCUGCUAUUAAUAGCACUGAACGAGCUGCUAAUUGGGCAGUUAUGUAAUGGCUUUGUUAUGAAACCUAGUUUGGGUUUGACACCUUCUGUUUCCUAAAAACAACAGUAAAACCCCCAAACAAACCCAGGGUUAGCAGUGCGUGACAUGAAAUAAAGGCUGAAUAAUUACCAAUCUUUCAAAACUCAAAUAGAAUUAAAAAGGGGGGAAAAAUCAAUUUGUUUCUCUGGAUUGCAGCAGAAGUGAGCUGGAAGAGAAUCAUACCACAGAUCUGCUGUUCAAAGGGAUACUUCAAAGUAACUUUCUCUAAUACCUGCCCUGCAAAUGCUGACAAAAAUCCUCCAAGAGACCUGUUUCUUCAACUUGUAAAGUCUCAGAAAGUAUUUCUGUAAUUUAAAAAAAGUUGUGCUUUGAAUGAGCACAGACAGAACAUAUUUGAAGGAGAAAGAAGGACCAGAAAAUGCCUGUGUUGGUGCUCUCUGGUACAAAUCGUGCACGAGGAUGAGGCACGAAUCUCUGCUCUUGCAAGUGACAGUAGAUAACCUGUAGAGUUUGACAUUUUUAAAGUAACUUAUUUUAAAAAAGAAAAGGGAGAGAAACAGGUGGGGAUGCCAUUUUGUUCCCUGCUCUAGAGAAGGAGAGAAGAUUGCAGUGCAUUAGGAGGGAAGCUUUUAUCCAGGGUGGCCCUCUGGAGUGGCUCUGUCCCUGGUUCCUCUGAAGGCUGCACAUCACUGAUGCAAUUCCCAGCCCUGGGAGCUGCUCCUGCUGGGGACACCCUGUCCUGUCCCCUGCUCGUCAGGUGCUUCUCUGCAUGCACCAAACACAGCAGCAUUCAGAGCCUGCUAGAAGGGUCCCCACAGAUGUUUGUAGUUGUAUGUACAGUGUUGUAACAUUCAUAGAAAUGAAAAUUCCUGUGAAGUGAAAAUCAACGCUAUGCCAGCGGUUGUUGUUUGAUCAGUGUUACCCGUAAUCUUUUGGUGCUGGGGGAGAUCAAGGCUGUGACUCCAGAAGGAGCACACAAGCCAUCCAAAGGACACUUCAUCUGUCUGUUUACAAACAUACAUCCUCGCCUUUGUGCAGAGAAGCACGUGGAAUUUGCCUCCAGCUGAGUCACUUUACAUUUCAGGAAACUGGGCACAGAUACUACACUCAGCUCUGCAGAGUUAUUUCCCACUGUCCAGACGAUAAUAAACCCCCUGGGUUAUCCAGCAUGGUAGAUGGGGAAGCUUUUAUUCCAAUAAAAAACCUCCACUUAGUUCCUUCAUCACUGAAGUGCCCAGAGGAGGCAGCCAAAGGGCUCACAGAGACUGGAUGCACAAUGUCCCAGCAGCACAGUAAUUGCAGCCAGCAUGCCCAAAAAGCUGUGAUAAUUUAGGGUUCAGCAAGUGUUGAAGGGAACAAGACUGGAAAUUGGGUGGUCCAGAUGGCUCCCACAUGUAUCCAGUUAAUUAUCAAGAUCUAGAAUCUCUUUUCCAUUUUAUGUGUGUGUAUAUAUAUAUAUCAGUGUGCAGAAAUACAUAUAGACACUAUUUACUUCAUUAGGAUAUUUUGGAAUUACCAUGUGGCAAAUAAUAGAAGGAUCUUCUCCUAAAAUAACAUCAGCAAGCUUCCCUGCUCCUGCACAUGAGCUGAAAGGAGUUUCCUCCUCAGUGCAUGUUUUCAGUGGUAGUACAGCUUGUUUGUGUCGUUACUGCUCUUCUGUAACCUCAGGUGUGGGAGCAGGAGGAGGCACCCAGCAGCUCCCAGGAGUGGUAACUGUUCCAUAUUUCUGCUGUGGUGCUGCUGAAGGGAUCCCAUGGAAUCCAAACUUCAUAGAAUACAAACUUUGACAGAGUUCAAACUUAAUCCACAGUCCUAUGAUUGCUUAAUUCUCAGUUUUUCUGAAUUUAUACUGGUAUAAAAGUGUGCCUUUGCAAUACUUCAAAACUUCUAAAACACUUUAAACCCCAUAGAAAUCUUUAACUGUUGUUUACAUUUUAAAAACCUUAAAAUACUUUGAAAUGUCCUUUAAAUUAUAUUUCAAUAUGGGAAUAAUAUUUUCCUGUGUCUGAUAUAGUUUUUUUCCCUCUGUGAUAGUGUUUUUUGCACCCUUUGCAUUGCCUGCCUGCAGUGAUGGUACAUCUACUGCAAUUCCCUGUGUAUCCUGCUGAUCCUUGUUUUUCCCAAGAUAAGGCAACCCAAGCCUUCUUGUUGGAAAUGCCUGGAAGUGUUUACAAAGCACUCACCAAAAGCAUCCAGAAGGAAGGCUGGGCACAAUUUCAGUGCUGGCAUGCCAAUGUGGGCUCCUGUGUUUCCUGCUUCCCUUGCAGCCCUGGCAGCCCCUAUGGAGUUUGUCAGCCAAGAUCUCACUCAGUUCCUCACCUUGAUGGUAUUGGGGUUGUCACAGCCAGCUUUUCCACAUGCAGAUCUUUCUCUUGGGUUUACAUGGCAAGGUAAUAUUAAAAUGAGUCCUGCCAGGCCAGAGAAAUGCACAUAUUUCCCAGAGUCUCUCACCACUGAACCAGAAGUAACAAAGCCCUGGGUACUCUGGAAAGGGAACCAUUUAUGCUUUCUGAGUCAGCCACUCACACAGGGUUCAAGACUGGUGCUCAAACUUCCAGAAAUCAUAGAAUCAUGGAAUCACAGGAUGGUUUGGGUUGGAGAGGAUCUCAGAGCUCAUCUCAUUCCAAACUCCUGCCGUGGGCAGGGACACCUUCCAUUGACCACAUUGCUCCAAGCCCCAGGAAACAGCUUUGAUUCACAGCUUGAAAUUAUUUUUUUUUAGUAAUGUUUAUAUUUCAAAUCCAUGUCAUGAAAGCCAGUGGCAAAAGGUCUUAUUCAUGGAGUGUUACUGACUCUAAUUGCUUGUAAAAAGAACUGUGUAAACAAUGGAAUAUUUUGUUUGCUAAGAAUUCAUUAAAAAUUACUUAGCUCAAAAUAACCAGGACAAGUGCAUUAAAAAGAAAUCACUCUCUUCAAAAGCAUUAUUUUAAAGGAGUAUUCUUAAUUAAGCAUACCUCAAAUUAAAAAAGAGAGAAGAAAAAUGUAUUCUUCAAAAUUCUGAGAUGAAACUUGAAUCCUAUCAGAGCAUUUCUUGUUUCUUUCAGUGCAAACAAAUGCAAACAUCUGUUUUGCUCAGGCCUGUAUUUUUGUCCUUGCCCCACCCAGGAAGAUAAAAAAUAAGGCAUUAAUUUUUCAUUUCUUUCU